UCAAUUUUCCUGAGAAGAGGAGUGGUCAAGGCCCACCUUCAAGGCUGCCAGGUAGGAGUUGGGGAGAAGAUCAGACGUGAUUCAGGAGAUGGUGCAGGGACAGCCACGCCCACACAUUGAGAUUCUCCCCAUUCUAGACUGCUCCAGCUCUGUCCAGGCCACCAUCUGGCUCUUCGUAAUCAGCACUGACGUGUCUCCCUGCCUCCAACCUGGCAUCUUAUUGUCUUUCUCAAAAUUGCAAUCUAUGUAAGGUGGCAUGCAUCACCAUUACGGUGCAGGCUCCGGUUUUGAACUUCCUGUCCCCCUUCUAGGUACAUGACUUCAGGUGUCCUAGUCCUGACCCUGGCUGAGUACAGUGGAAACCCGAUGAUGAUCUUGGACAUUUUCAAUGCCUCAUCUCAACAUUCUCUUGACACAUCGCACUCCGUCAUUGCUGUGGCAACCGCGUGUGUGCGUGGUGGGAGCCCGACAGCACCUCCCAUCUCCUGCACCAGCUCUCCCUCCACUUCCGCCUGCUGCCUUCUGAGGAUUUCCUUACAACCAACUAAACUCAGGCUUGGUUCACAGAAAUGUUAGUGCAACUCACAAUAAAUAGCUGUGGCACUACCCAGGGUGACCCCGAAGGGCAGCAGGGAGAGGAUUCUUCCCAGUAGGUGGGAUUUUGAACACACUCGGUGGGUUCACCUGGGAUGGAGGAGCAAAUGUUCUGCGGUACAACUACACGUAGAUUCCUGAGCAACGACGACGGUCCAUCAGGUGCCUAGAAGGAGCAUGAUCAGAGAUUAGAAACAAGGGAGUUUGGGGGAGGGGGGAGAAGCAUGGGAAUGAAUCUGUGGGUAUGGAAACAAAACACGCAGACCUUUGUGUCUCACACUGUUACACACAAAAGAUCACCUAAGCAGAGAAAGCACGCAACAAUUCAAUAGGCAGGCUGACUCAACCAGCGGAUGUCAGCCAGCCUCCUUCCUUGGCCAUCUGAGUGCUAUGCAGUGGGUCUAUGCACAGAGCAGCCACAUGGCAGGGAUGGAGAUGGUCCAUAGGCCUAGCGAUGUGGGUUCCUUCUCACUAAGGCUUACCUAGCUACUACUGCUGAUGACUGCAGCAGAGAUUGAAAAUGAGCCCUCAAAAUGCCACCGUGAGGAUACUCGCUAGCCACUUGGUGGCAGAUUAAUUACACCAGGCUCCUUUUAUUGAAGACAGGGCAGCAAUCGUCCAUAUGGGAACUGACACCCACUCUAGCUAUGGAUUUAUCGUCUCUGUCUGCAUCACCUCUGCCAACAUUUCCAAUCAUAGAUUGAAAGAAUGCGGGAUCCCACAUAGCUUCG